rnacentral:miRNA from 11 species
GAGGCUGUGACCUGCUUCAAGUAAUCCAGGAUAGGCUGUGUGCAUUCUUAAUGGCCUAUCCUUGAUUACUUGCACUGGGAAAUAGCCACAGCGCAAUGAACAGGAUGCUGGAAGA